rnacentral:RNase_P_RNA from 1 species
GACGCCGGCCAGGCAGUCGCGGGGGCGGGAGAGACAACCCGUCACUCGAGGAAAGUCCGGACACCGCAGGGCAAGGGUGGUCGGGAGACCGACCCGGGGAAACCCGCGGGAAAGUGCCACAGAAACAAACCGCCUAAGCGACGGGGUCGCAGCUGAACCCCGCCGCCGGCAAGGGUGAAAUGGUGCGGUAAGAGCGCACCGGCGGCGCGGUGACGCGCCGGCCAGGCAAACCCCACCCGGUGCAAGGCCAAGCAGGGACGUCGACGCUGCCCGCCGAGUCCCAGGUAGGCCGCAGGGCCGCAGGGCCCGCCCGGCGCAAGCCGAGCAGAUGGAUGGCUGCCCACGACAGAAUCCGGCUUACCGGCCGGCUACGGGA